rnacentral:rRNA from 1 species
UAGGGAAUCUUCCGCAAUGGACGCAAGUCUGACGGAGCAACGCCGCGUGAGUGAAGAAGGAUUUCGGUUCGUAAAACUCUGUUGUUAGUGAAGAACAUCGCUUAGAGUAACUGUUAUGCGUGUGACGGUAUCUAACCAGAAAGCCACGUCUAACUACGUGCCAGCAGCCGCUGUUAUACCUAGGUGGCAAGCGUUGUACGGAUUUAUUGGGCGUAAAGCGAGCGCAGGCGGUCAAUUAAGUCUGAUGUGAAAGCCCCCGGCUCAACCUGGGAGGGUCAUUGGAAACUGGUUGACUUGAGUGCAGAAGAGGAGAGUGGAAUUCCAUGUGUAGCGGUGAAAUGCGUAGAUAUAUGGAGGAACACCAGUGGAGAAGGCGACUCUCUGGUAUGUAACUGACGCUGAGGCUAGAAAGCGUGGGUAGCAAACAGG